UACGUAGGGGGCGAGCGUUGUCCGGAUUUAUUGGGCGUAAAGCGCGCGCAGGCGGCCAACAGAGCCCGGCGUGAAAGCCCCCGGCUCAACCGGGGGAGGCCGUCGGAGACCUGUAGGCUGGAGGCCGGUAGGGGAGAGCGGAAUUCCCGGUGUAGUGGUGGAAUGCGUAGAUAUCGGGAGGAACACCAGUGGCGAAGGCGGCUCUCUGGACCGGUCCUGACGCUCAGGCGCGAAAGCGUGGGGAGCGAUCCGG
rnacentral:rRNA from 1 species